AUUGAACGCUGGCGGCAUGCCUUACACAUGCAAGUCGAACGGCAGCACGGGGCAACCUGGUGGCGAGUGGCGAACGGGUGAGUAAUGCAUCGGAACGUACCUUUCAGUGGGGGAUAACGUAGCGAAAGUUACGCUAAUACCGCAUAUUCUGUGAGCAGGAAAGCAGGGGAUCGCAAGACCUUGCGCUGAUUGAGCGGCCGAUGUCAGAUUAGCGAGUUGGUGAGGUAAAGGCUCACCAAGGCGACGAUCUGUAGCGGGUCUGAGAGGAUGAUCCGCCACACUAGAACUGAGACACGGUCCAGACUCCUACGGGAGGCAGCAGUGGGGAAUUUUGGACAAUGGGGGCAACCCUGAUCCAGCCAUGCCGCGUGAGUGAAGAAGGCCUUCGGGUUGUAAAGCUCUUUCGGCCGGGAAGAAAUCGCACGGGCUAAUACCCUGUGUGGAUGACGGUACCGGAAUAAGAAGCACCGGCUAACUACGUGCCAGCAGCCGCCGCGGUAA
rnacentral:rRNA from 1 species